GAUGAACGCUGGCGGCGUGCCUAAUACAUGCAAGUCGAGCGAACAGACGAGGAGCUUGCUCCUCUGACGUUAGCGGCGGACGGGUGAGUAACACGUGGAUAACCUACCUAUAAGACUGGGAUAACUUCGGGAAACCGGAGCUAAUACCGUAUAAUAUAUUGAACCGCAUGGUUCAAUAGUGAAAGACGGUUUUGCUGUCACUUAUAGAUUGAUCCGCGCCUCAUUAGCUAGUUGGUAAGGUAACGGCUUACCAAGGCAACGAUGCGUAGCCGACCUGAGAGGGUGAUCGGCCACACUGGAACUGAGACACGGUCCAGACUCCUACGGGAGGCAGCAGUAGGGAAUCUUCCGCAAUGGGCGAAAGACUGACGGAGCAACGCCGCGUGAGUGAUGAAGGUCUUCGGAUCGUAAAACUCUGUUAUUAGGGAAGAACAAAUGUGUAAGUAACUAUGCACGUCUUGACGGUACCUAAUCAGAAAGCCACGGCUAACUACGUG
rnacentral:rRNA from 1 species